AAACCAACAGGGAUUGCCUUAGUAGCGGCGAGUGAAGCGGCAAAAGCUCAAAUUUGAAAUCUGGCUCUUUCAGAGUCCGAGUUGUAAUUUGAAGAAGGUAUCUUUGGGUCUGGCUCUUGUCUAUGUUUCUUGGAACAGAACGUCACAGAGGGUGAGAAUCCCGUGCGAUGAGAUGAUCCAGGCCUAUGUAAAGUUCCUUCGAAGAGUCGAGUUGUUUGGGAAUGCAGCUCUAAGUGGGUGGUAAAUUCCAUCUAAAGCUAAAUAUUGGCGAGAGACCGAUAGCGAACAAGUACAGUGAUGGAAAGAUGAAAAGAACUUUGAAAAGAGAGUGAAAAAGUACGUGAAAUUGUUGAAAGGGAAGGGCUUGAGAUCAGACUUGGUAUUUUGUAUGUUACUUCUUCGGGGGUGGCCUCUACAGUUUAUCGGGCCAGCAUCAGUUUGGGCGGUAGGAGAAUUGCGUUGGAAUGUGGCACGGCUUCGGUUGUGUGUUAUAGCCUUCGUCGAUACUGCCAGCCUAGACUGAGGACUGCGGUUUAUACCUAGGAUGUUGGGAUAAUGAUCUUAAGUCUC
rnacentral:rRNA from 1 species